UACAGAGGUCUCAAGCGUUGUUCGGAUUCAUUGGGCGUAAAGGGUGCGUAGGCGGCGCGGUAAGUCGGGUGUGAAAUCUCGGGGCUUAACUCCGAAACUGCAUUCGAUACUGCCGUGCUUGAGGACUGGAGAGGAGACUGGAAUUUACGGUGUAGCGGUGAAAUGCGUAGAUAUCGUAAGGAAGACCAGUGGCGAAGGCGGGUCUCUGGACCAUUACUGACGCUGAGGAGCGAAAGCGUGGGGAGCGAACAGG
rnacentral:rRNA from 1 species